rnacentral:rRNA from 1 species
UACGUAGGGGGCAAGCGUUGUCCGGAAUCAUUGGGCGUAAAGAGCGUGUAGGCGGUCCGGUAAGUCGGAUGUGAAAUCUCCACGCUCAACGUGGAGGGGCCAUUCGAUACUGUCGUGACUCGAGUCCGGUAGGGGAGUGUGGAAUUCCCGGUGUAGCGGUGAAAUGCGCAGAGAUCGGGAGGAACACCGGUGGCGAAGGCGGGUCUCUGGGCCGGAACUGACGCUAAGGAGCGAAAGCGUGGGGAGCGAACAGG